CAACCUUCUCACUUGUACAAUGGAGACAGAAUAUGUCCCUUGCACCGUGAUGUGCCCACUCGCCGGCCGGGCACGGAAGAAGAGCACUUCGAGGUGGACCUCACUCCCAAACCUCUGUUAACAGCGAACUUGGACAGGGAGCGCCUCCCAAGCCCAGUCUUCCAAAUGUCUUCCCGAGCCAGCACGCUCAGCCCCCUGCAAGUGCGCCGAACUGCUGGUGGAGACAGACGUCUGAGCCGCAGGUAGACCAGAGGCUUCGAAAGUGGUACCAUGAGGCCAUCUUUCCAGUCUUGGAGCAUGGGCGAGUAGCCUUCUCCAUCCCUGAGAGGUUAAAAAAGAGACCGGACUCCCAGUGUAAACUCACCAAGGGGUGAAGACCCAGACUGGAUUAGGGCAAUGGUGAAUGUGAGAACCGUCUGUCGCAAAGGACAGACUGUGUCUCCAUAUACCCUGCCUCUUGCUCUGGGCCCUACACUGCCCACUUCUAUCCACAGGACAGUGUGACAUUCCAUUUUCCCACACUAAUUGUGGGCAGCCAAGAAGACUUGGGUCAGAAGGGACUUCAAACCUGCUUAAUGUAACCCCAGUAUCCACAGCUCUGUCACAUCGUCUCCAUUGGCAGGGGGCAUCUCCCUUCUGCUGGAAGACUACUGACAAGAAACUCACCAUCUGUCCAAAUCUCUUUGGACGGUCCUGCUGUAAAGUGGGCUGGUCUCCUACUUCCUCAAGCUAAUCUCAAACUUCCUUCGUUACUCAAGGUCCUUGUGUUCUUCCCAAACCAAUUAAAUUCUGUUUAACUUUGGGCAAGUUUCUUAACCUC